GCGUGGAGACAGGUGGUGCACGGCUGUCGUCAGCUCGUGUCGUGAGAUGUUGGGUUAAGUCCCGCAACGAGCGCAACCCUCACCCCUAGUUGCCACCGGGUAAAGCCGAGCACUCGAGGGGAACUGCCAGCGUCAAGCUGGAGGAAGGCGGGGAUGACGUCAAGUCAUCAUGCCCCUUACGCCCUGGGCUACACACGUGCUACAAUGGCCGGUACAAAGGGACGCGAGACUGCAAAGUGGAGCUAAUCCCAAAAAACCGGUCUAAGUUCAGAUUGCAGUCUGCAACUCGACUGCAUGAAGGAGGAAUCGCUAGUAAUCGCGCAUCAGCACGGCGCGGUGAAUACGUUCCCGGGCCUUGUACACACCGCCCGUCACACCACGAAAGCUGUCUGUACUCGAAGUCGCUGAG
rnacentral:rRNA from 1 species